AUCGGUCAAUGAGGGGCCAGUGGCUGGCAGCCUGAUGUCACUUCCUGCCUCUAGAGGAAGUGGCAGUUAACAUCAUUUUCUCCUCCAUCCCUCUCCCAUAGAUGGACAUCAGAUGUCCAUCAUACUCCUAGGGCCUGGGGAGAUCUCAUGUUUCAGAAUUCCCUGGUUUCUGAAGCCUUUGAGGAGAGGGAAUUGUGUGCGUAAGACUCAGCUUUCUUUUUUCCUGAUGCAACUUUCAUUUUUUUUUCUGUCUUUCACCAACAGAUUCUACCACCUGUAGUUCAGCCAAGUCCAAG
rnacentral:sRNA from 1 species